GGACCUUGUCGGAGGCAGGGGAGGACUUGAUUUGCUAAAAGAACUAUCUCUCUCACAGCUGUUGAAGAAACGUUCUGUUCCGAAACCUCCAAAUGCGGGUGGAGCGAGCAGUGCUGGAAGUGGAAGAUUUGUUUAGAGUUCAGAACAAGGCAUCCUACGAUGUGGACAUACUGCCUCAUUUAUCUUAUUCAAUUUAUUUUGUAAUGAGAGCCAUAAGCCUACCUGUCCAUUUCUACUUUUUUUAAAAAUCUUUUAUUAUUUCCAUAACAAGUGUACUAAUCAUUUCCGAAUACAAAUAAAACCUUCCUCCUGAGAAAGCAUU